UUACCAGACUCCUACGGGAGGCAGCAGUGAGGAAUAUUGGUCAAUGGACGAGAGUCUGAACCAGCCAAGUAGCGUGAAGGAUGACUGCCCUAUGGGUUGUAAACUUCUUUUAUAUGGGAAUAAAAUGUUCCACGUGUGGGAUUUUGUAUGUACCAUAUGAGUAAGGAUCGGCUAACUCCGUGCCAGCAGCCGCGGUAAUACGGAGGAUCCGAGCGUUAUCCGGAUUUAUUGGGUUUAAAGGGAGCGUAGGUGGAUUGUUAAGUCAGUUGUGAAAGUUUGCGGCUCAACCGUAAAAUUGCAGUUGAAACUGGCAGUCUUGAGUACAGUUGAGGUAGGCGGAAUUCGUGGUGUAGCGGUGAAAUGCAUAGAUAUCACGCAGAACUCCGAUUGCGAAGGCAGCUUACUAAACUAUAACUGACACUGAAGCACGAAAGCGUGGGGAUCAAACAGGAUUAGAUACCCUAGUA
rnacentral:rRNA from 1 species